ensembl:misc_RNA 7SK 7SK RNA
GGAUGUGAGGGCAAUCUGGCUGUGACACCUGUCAUCCCAUUGAUCUCCAGGGUUGAUCUGGCUGAUCUGGCUGGCUGGGCAGGUAUCCCCUUCCUCACUCACCACUCCCUGUGUGUCCCUCCUGAAGCUGCAUGCUUGGUCGAAGAGGAUGACCUUCCCCAAUAGAGGAGGACUGUUCUUCUGUCAAGGGUACACAAGUAGCUGCACCGCCCUGCUAGAACCUCUAAACACGCUCUCAAAUAUGUGGCAUAUGUUUAACAUAGCAUAUGCUUAAUAAAUGCUUCACUAGGAACUACAAAAAUAUUU